GACGAACGCGGCGGCGUGCCUAAUACAUGCAAGUAGAACGCUGAAGAGAGGAGCUUGCUCUUCUUGGAUGAGUUGCGAACGGGUGAGUAACGCGUAGGUAACCUGCCUUGUAGCGGGGGAUAACUAUUGGAAACGAUAGCUAAUACCGCAUAACAAUGAAUGACUCAUGUCAUUUAUUUGAAAGGGGCAAUUGCUCCACUACAAGAUGGACCUGCGUUGUAUUAGCUAGUAGGUGAGGUAACGGCUCACCUAGGCGACGAUACAUAGCCGACCUGAGAGGGUGAUCGGCCACACUGGGACUGAGACACGGCCCAGACUCCUACGGGAGGCAGCAGUAGGGAAUCUUCGGCAAUGGGGGCAACCCUGACCGAGCAACGCCGCGUGAGUGAAGAAGGUUUUCGGAUCGUAAAGCUCUGUUGUAAGUCAAGAACGAGUGUGAGAGUGGAAAA
rnacentral:rRNA from 1 species